GCUGGGAGCAGUGGUGUACACCUGUAAUCCCAGGAGCUGGGGAGGCCGAGGCAGGAGGAUUGCGAGUUCAAAGCCAGGCUCAACAACAUAUCGAGGCUUUAGGCAACUUAGCGAGACCCUGUCUCUA
rnacentral:sRNA from 1 species